rnacentral:ncRNA from 1 species
CUAUUUUUGCAGUGAAAUGGUUCUCAGUUUUGAGAUUUUGAGGGAAUCCGGUGAGCCCGAUAACUAUCGGGGAAGUCCGGAGCUGUACCCGCAGCUGUAAUCCUUUCAUGUUGACAGCAUUUCAGCCACUGUUCCGUCGGUAAACGGAGCGGGAAGGCCGCUGCCAAUUGGGGAAAGCCAGAAGACCUGCCGUUUCAUAAACAAUAUC